rnacentral:rRNA from 1 species
CCGUGCCAGCAGCCGCGGUAAUACGGAGGGUGCGAGCGUUAAUCGGAAUUACUGGGCGUAAAGCGCAUGCAGGUGGUUUGUUAAGUCAGAUGUGAAAGCCCGGGGCUCAACCUCGGAAUAGCAUUUGAAACUGGCAGACUAGAGUACUGUAGAGGGGGGUAGGAAUUUCAGGUGUAGCGGUGAAAUGCGUAGAGAUCUGAAGGAAUACCGGUGGCGAAGGCGGCCCCCUCGGACAGAUACUGACACUCAGAUGCGAAAGCGUGGGGAGCAAACAGGAUUAGAUACCCUGGUAG